rnacentral:rRNA from 1 species
AACAGGAAUUCCCCUAGUAACUGCGAGUGAAGCGGGAAAAGCUCAAAUUUAAAAUCUGGCGGUCUUUGGCUGUCCGAGUUGUAAUCUAGAGAAGUGUUACCCGCGUUGGACCGUGUACAAGUCUCCUGGAAUGGAGCGUCAUAGAGGGUGAGAAUCCGGUCUUUGACACGGACUGCCAAGGCUUUGUGGUGCGCUCUCAAAGAGUUGAGUUGUUUGGGAAUGCAGCUCAAAAUGGGUGGUAAAUGCCAUCUAAAGCUAAAUAUUGGCGAGAGACCGAUAGCGAACAAGUACCGUGAGGGAAAGAUGAAAAGAACUUUGGAAAGAGAGUUAAACAGUACGUGAAAUUGCUGAAAGGGGAAACGCUUGAAGUCAGUCGCGUUGGCUGGAAAUCAACCUUACUUUUGUUGGGUGUACUUUCUGGUUGACGGGUCAGUAUCAGUUUUGACCGGUGGAUAAAGGUGCAGGGAAUGUGGCUCCCUCGGGAGUGUUAUAGCCUUGUAUCAUAUACAUCGGUUGGGACUGAGGUACUCAGCACGCCGCAAGGCCGGGUUUCGACCACGUUCGUGCUUAGGAUACUGGCAUAAU